UCCACCCACUCCCACCCCUACCCCCGAAAGCCCUCCGGCACCCCCACCCGCAUUCUCACCCGGGCGAAGAAUCCGCUGGAUCGCAACUGCUAGGAAACCCGGGACCAGAUCACGCAGCGCUGGAGACCUAGAGCCUCUUUCUUGAAGAGUGGAGAUGUGAACCCCAAGUAUAACAGAGCACGGGCAGAAACAUCACUGAGCUUGUAAAAUCCUGAGAGAUGCUUUCCUGUAUGACACGGGUAUCUGUGGCUUCAUCUAGACUCUGCUUGUCUGGAGGUCUUAAUUCCAAAGGGAGGAAUGCUUACACCGUGGAAAACAGCAAUAAUUCCAUUAAACUGGAUGUUGAGACCAUCACCUGGCCACUUUGGGAUCCUCUAGCCGGUGAACCACGAGACAGAGAAGGUGAUUACUAUAUUGGCUGGGAUGAUUGAUCAUGAACAUUAAGGAACAAUUGGGUUGCUACUCAACAGUCGGGGUAAGGAGCAGUAUUUUUGGAAUGUAGGAGAUCCCCUGGGGCCCUUCUUAGUACUUUCAUGUCCUGAGAUUAAAGUCAAUGGAAGCUACAAAAACCCAAUUCAGGCAGGACUGCUAAUGACCAGACCACUCAGGAAUGAAGGUUUGGGUCGCCCAAGAGUCCCCAAUCACCACCAGCUGGGGCACUUCCUGAAGGCAAAGGGAAUUUUGAAAGGAUAAUGGAAGAAUUUAGUUAUAAAUACCAUCUAUGACGUGACGAUUUAGAGAACUAAAUAUUGUAAUAGUUAAGAGCAUUUAUUCCUUACUUUGAUAUGAAUAUUUGUAUUAACCAAUAUUUUGUUCUCUUCCCUCUUCCCAAUAUCCUCCUAUCUAACGUAAAAUGUGUUAACAGCAGUUUAAUUUAUAUCUCAUGUUUAAGUUACAAGCUAUCAAAUUAAGAGAAUGCGAAUCAUCUGGAAGAAGAAUGAACAUCAACCUAAGACAAAAAGGGUCUUUGCUUCCAUUUUUGGGGAAAGAGUUACUCUGCUUUUUUGUUGUAUCCCUCAUGUUUGGUGGAAAUGUGACUUUGUUAUUAUUUCUAUUUGAAAAUUAAAUAUGGUUUAAAGAGA